rnacentral:tRNA from 1 species
AAAAAAUAGUUUAUCAAAACAAAAACUUUGGAAGUUUUAGAUUUAGCCACACUAAUUUUUUGAA